UAGGGAAUCUUCCACAAUGGACGAAAGUCUGAUGGAGCAACGCCGCGUGAGUGAAGAAGGUUUUCGGAUCGUAAAACUCUGUUGUUGGAGAAGAACGUAUUUGAUAGUAACUGAUCAGGUAGUGACGGUAUCCAACCAGAAAGCCACGGCUAACUACGUGCC
rnacentral:rRNA from 1 species